rnacentral:misc_RNA from 1 species
AAGUGGCGGCGGACAGCGUGACGUAUGACCGAGUCAUCCGCGGCAAUGACAAACGCUGUGUUUUCCAAGAACAAGAAAAGGCGAACUGCCUCCAACGUUGAUAUCGUCGUUUGCGGAAGGCAGCGGUCCAAAUCAUCAAUCAACACAAUAAGCUUCGUGCCCAUUGCUUCGAGGGUUUCCUCGAAAGAUUUGCGGAUCGCAUGAAUUUCUUUAGGCGGCGAGGACUCGGCGCGUGGCUUGAUCAG